AUGAACGCUGGCGGCGUGCCUAAUCCCUGCCAGUCGAGCGAACAGACGAGGAGCUUGCUCCUCUGACGUUAGCGGCGGACGGGUGAGUAACACGUGGUUAACCUACCUAUAAGACUGGGAUAACUUCGGGAAACCGGAGCUAAUACCGGAUAAUAUAUUGAACCGCAUGGUUCAAUAGUGAAAGACGGUUUUGCUGUCACUUAUAGAUGGAUCCGCGCCGCAUUAGCUAGUUGGUAAGGUAACGGCUUACCAAGGCAACGAUGCGUAGCCGACCUGAGAGGGUGAUAGGCCACACGGGAAGUGAGACGCGGUCCAGACUCCUACGGGAGGCAGCAGUAGGGAAUCUUCCGCAAUGGGCGAAAGCCUGACGGAGCAACGCCGCGUGAGUGAUGAAGGUCUUCGGAUCGUAAAACUCUGUUAUUAGGGAAGAACAAAUGUGUAAGUAACUAUGCACGUCUUGACGGUACCUAAUCAGAAAGCCACGGCUAACUACGUG
rnacentral:rRNA from 1 species